GUGCUUGCUUCAAUAGCACAUACUAAAAUUGGAAUGAUAACAGAGAAUAUUAGCUUGGCCCCCGCACAGGGCUGACAUGCAGAUUGGUGAAGUGUUCCAUAAAGAG
ensembl:snRNA U6 U6 spliceosomal RNA